UACGUAGGUGGCAAGCGUUGUCCGGAUUUAUUGGGUUUAAAGGGUGCGUAGGCGGUCUAUUAAGUCAGUGCUGAAAUAUCCCGGCUUAACCGGGAGGGUGGCAUUGAUACUGAUGGACUUGAGUAAAGUUGAGGUUGGCGGAAUUGACGGUGUAGCGGUGAAAUGCUUAGAUAUCGUCAAGAACACCUAUUGCGAAGGCAGCUAACUAAGCUUAAACCGACGCUGAGGCACGAAAGUGUGGGGAUCAAACAGG
rnacentral:rRNA from 1 species